rnacentral:rRNA from 1 species
AGAUUGAACGCUGGCGGCAUGCCUUACACAUGCAAGUCGAACGGCAGCACGGGGGCAACCCUGGUGGCGAGUGGCGAACGGGUGAGUAAUGCAUCGGAACGUGCCCAGUAGUGGGGGAUAACUAGUCGAAAGAUUAGCUAAUACCGCAUACGACCUAUGGGUGAAAGCGGGGGACCUUUACCGGCUCGCGCUAUCGGAGCGGCCGAUGCCUGAUUAGCUAGUUGGCGGGUAAAGCCCACCAAGGCGACGAUCAGUAGCUGGUCUGAGAGGACGACCAGCCACACUGGGACUGAGACACGGCCCACGACCCCCGUACGGGAGGCGAGCAGUGGGGAAGUUUGGACAAUGGGCGCAAGCCGUGACUCCAGCCCAUCGCCGGCGUUGACGGGAAGAAGGGUCCGUUCGGGUUACGGUAACCGUCGUUUU